CAUUCCGGAAAGCAUUUUUUUAUCAAGGCUCUACCAUGAGUGGCUGUCCGUAAUGGAGAAAAGCAGCGACAGACAGAAAAUUGAAAAAAUUAAAAGGCUAUUAGACCAGCUACCAAGAGGAAACGUUGUGCUCUUAAGCUUGUGGAAUUUGUGAUAAAAAACUGCCGCAACAUCUUUGGAGGACACGUCACUGCCCUGUUUGGAGAGUCAUCCAGAAUAUAAAAUACUCAAGAAAAACCCUCAGAUACAUCUAGCAUUCCAGAGAGCAAUGCUUCCUCAUAUGAGAGCUUGAAGAAAAAAGCGACUGUGCUGCUGGCCACAGUGUGAUGAAUCAAAGAAAAUGCGUCCAAUUGAAGGGAAGCAUUGACUCGCUUAUAAUGUCUCUGGACUCUGGCCUUGAUGCCCUUGAAUUCUAAAUGAGCUUCAGAGCCUCCUGUAUGACUUUUAGUUCAGGUGGACCAGCCUCCUAAAGACAAGCCGAUGGAUGUAACAAUGUGCAGAGAUAUUCCACCACAGAAUCCUGCCAAGAUUCUUUCUGG